CCUACGGGUGGCAGCAGUGGGGAAUAUUGGUCAAUGGGCGUAAGCCUGAACCAGCCAAGUCGCGUGAGGGAUGAAGGUUCUAUGGAUCGUAAACCUCUUUUGUAAGGGGAUAAAGUGUGGGACGUGUCCUAUUUUGUAUGUACCUUAUGAAUAAGGAUCGGCUAACUCCGUGCCAGCAGCCUAGGUAAUACGGAGGAUCCGAGCGUUAUCCGGAUUGAUUGGGUUUAACGGGUGCGUAGGCGGCCUUUUAAGUCAGCGGUGAAAGUCUGUGGCUCAACCAGAGAAUUGCCGUUGAAACUGGGGGGCUUGAGUAUUUUUGAGGCAGGCAGAAUGCGAGGUGUAGCGGUGAAAUGCGUAGAGAUCUCGCAGAAUCCUGAUGGCGAAGGCAGCCUGCCAAGCAAUGACUGACGCUGAUGCACGAAAGCGUGGGGAUCAAACAGGAUUAGAUACCCCAGUAGUC
rnacentral:rRNA from 1 species